rnacentral:rRNA from 1 species
CCCAGACAACUAGGAUGUUGGCUUAGAAGCAGCCAUCAUUUAAAGAGUGCGUAAUAGCUCACUAGUCGAGUGACACUGCGCCGAAAAUGUACCGGGGCUAAACAUAUUACCGAAGCUGUGGAUUGUCCUUCGGACAAUGGUAGGAGAGCGUUCUAAGGGCGUUGAAGCAUGAUCGCAAGGACAUGUGGAGCGCUUAGAAGUGAGAAUGCCGGUGUGAGUAGCGAAAGACGGGUGAGAAUCCCGUCCACCGAUUGACUAAGGUUUCCAGAGGAAGGCUCGUCCGCUCUGGGUUAGUCGGGUCCUAAGCUGAGGCCGACAGGCGUAGGCGAUGGAUAACAGGUUGAUAUUCCUGUACCACCUAGUAUCGUUUUAAUCGAUGGGGGGACGCAGUAGGAUAGGCGAAGCGUGCUGUUGGAGUGCACGUCCAAGCAGUAAGGCUGAGUGUUAGGCAAAUCCGGCACUCGU